UACGUAGGGUGCUAGCGUUGUUCGGAAUCAUUGGGCGUAAAGCGCGUGUAGGCUGUUAGUUAAGUCGGGUGUGAAAUCCCUGGGCUCAACCGAGGAAGUGCAUCCGAAACUAACUAGCUAGAAGAUGGUAGAGGAAGGUGGAAUUCCUAGUGUAGAGGUGAAAUUCGUAGAUAUUAGGAGGAAUACCGGUGGCGAAGGCGGCUCACUGGACUGGUAUUGACGCUGAGGUGCGAAAGCGUGGGGAGCAAACAGG
rnacentral:rRNA from 1 species